UAUUCUCAAACUUCAUAUCUUUAACCGUUGCUAAAAUAAAUUUCACUUCACACGUUACUUCAAAAGAGAUGGCAAUACAUUACUGGAGUGAAAUAACAUUCUCAAAAAUUAAGUGGCAUACUUCAACCUGACCAGAUUCGGAUUCAAGAAUCGCGAAUGCAACAUGGGUAGAACUCUGCUUCUGUAACUUGGUGACUGCAGCAAGUGGCGACACCUUUGACCGUGCGAAAGAAGGAGCUGGCUGCGGUCACCAAUUAGAGAAGCAGAGUGGCGACACCUUUGACCGCAACAAGUGAUUUAAUUGGUGAUACUUCAUUCACCCCAAUGUAUACUGUCUGGAUUAAGCAUAGGAUGACAUCUAAUACUUUGGAAGCUACUCAUCAUGGACCUUUGACAAAUAAGCCAACCAUGUUUCUGUAGAUUGGUAGUACUGAAGACUUUUGGAAGAGGCAAGAUGCUGCUCAAGUUAUGGCUCAGUUAGUUUGGGAAGGACUUGGACUUGGAGGAGGGACAGGUGUUGGGAACUGGAGCAGGGCAAAUGAUAAGAAGAAAGUCCUUCUUGGGAUAGGCGGUGGACAUUAUGUGCCUAGGCAUAUGGAUGUAAUAUUGCAAGUGAUCAUUUUCAGUGAAGUUAGAAUUGAAUUUUCUGAUUAUGUUAAUUAAUGAAUGAUGUUUGGGCCGGUCACCUACUUUCGGGAUAUUCAGUGCCAAUGGAAGAUCCAAAAGGAGAAACAAAUGUGGAGAUAGGAGGAACUUGGAAACAGUCUAUAAAAGCUGCAUAUGAGGCCACUAAAUCUGCUUUUCCUGGUGGCGAAAUUCUUGCACAUCUUGACCAAAAGUAAGCUUAACGGGACAUUAUCCUUCUGAAAACAGUUGUUUGCAUGCAUGCAAAUCAUUAACCAAAAGCUAUAUGAUAAUUGAGGGCUCAAAGGUUCAUAAAGCCAAAUAACUUCUAUUGAAUAUCGGUUUUCGAGGAUGAUAUUGUGAAUACUGAAUACGCAGAUUGCAGACAGAGGCAUGCUUUGACCUCACUCGCAUGCUUUCCGGGAAACUUCCCAGAAGGUCACCCAUCUCAAUACUACUCCAAGUCAAGCACGCUUAACUAUGAAGUUCUUAUUGAACGGGCUCCCGAAAAGAAGAUGCAUCUUGUUGGUAUAGGUAGUACCCAUCAAUUCUUAUAAGCUUUCCUUCAACCAUGCAGUCUCAUACCUGCACGGCCUCAGGAUUCCUCUCAUUCCGAUGUGGCGACCACCCUUGCCCUCAUAGGCUUCAGGUGUUACAUGCGGUGCAACCACCCCCGCCUUCUUCGGCCUCGGGUGUUACAUGCCCACCAGCUUCCGCAUGGUUCGUCCUCGAACCACAUCGUACUGGGAGAGGUCUGGCUCUGAUACCAUUUGUAACGCCCUAGACUGCUUUCGGGAUAAUCGACUGACCCCACAAACCAACACGGGUCUUUUCAGCAUGCUUUGACCUCACUCGCAUGCCUUCCGGGAAACUUCUCAGAAGGUCACCCAUCCCAAUACUACUCCAAGUCAAGCACGCUUAACUGUGAAGUUCUUAUUGAACGGGCUCCCGAAAAAAAGAUGCAUCUUGUUGGUAUAGGUAGUACCCAUCAAUUCUUAUAAGUUUUCCUUCAACCAUGCAGUCUCAUACCUGCACGGCCUCAGGAUUCCUCUCAUUCUGAUGUGGCAACCACCCUUGCCCUCAUAGGCCUCAGGUGUUACAUGCGGUGCAACCACCCCCGCCUUCUUCGGCCUCGGGUGUUACAGCAACAUGUUGUGUUAGAGACUUGUACAAUAAAAUAUAGUUAGUUUCAUGGCUAUAAAUCUGCGGCUGAGUUCAUUAUACUAUAAAACCUGAACUUAUUAGUUUGGUAAAUGAGGAAACUAAAAGAAAAAUCAUUUGCAGAGUUCUCAUUUUGAUAUAUAGAAAAAUGCUUUCUAGCUUUUGGUUCUCCAACUAGGGGUUUUGUUUUGCUGUGGAAUUAGAAAUAGAUGAUGAAGUGAUGGAAUACACUACUUGGAACUACGGUUCCUUCGAUUCCUCCUCCUCAAGCUUCACAGCCAUCAUACACAGUGCUUCCGCCGCUCCUCUUCCACCGGUGGUGACUGAGGCUGAUGCACGUCAAAAUCAUCAGGCAAGUGUUGUUUCGUUCAUCAGUUAAACUUCUGCAUGUUCUGUUUCUUUGCUAUUUGUAGAACCUAAUUGUGUAGUCUUAGAAGCUGUAAGAGUGAAUUGUUCAACUGUGCUGGUAAUUUGCAGUUUUUAGGAUUAGCUGAUAAGAAGCUACAUUUUAUAUGAUGUUAAAUUGAAGUUCGCUCAUGGUUAGGAUAAAGGUAGGUGUAUGAGGACAC